rnacentral:rRNA from 1 species
UACGUAGGGAGCAAGCGUUGUUCGGAAUUACUGGGCGUAAAGGGCGCGUAGGCGGCCAACUAAGUCGGACGUGAAAUCCCCGGGCUCAACCCGGGAACUGCGUCCGAUACUGGAUGGCUUGAAUCCGGGAGAGGGAUGUGGAAUUCCAGGUGUAGCGGUGAAAUGCGUAGAUAUCUGGAGGAACACCGGUGGCGAAGGCGGCAUCCUGGACCGGUAUUGACGCUGAGGCGCGAAAGCCAGGGGAGCAAAGCGGG